CAGAGCUGGAGGCUAAGGGAGCGUUCGGGCGUGCAGACUCAGGGCUCAGCCUUCCGAGCACCACCUUUCUUCACUUCCCAGGUGAAUGCUGUCCUGCGGCCGCCCUGACGGAAAACUUACAAGGACUGCAGCUGGGGGAUUGGCUUAGGCGUUCUCACAAGUCUCAGAUCAUGAAAGCGCCUCGCUCCAUUCUUAAGAUUUUGUGCCUGGAGAAGAUACCCAGCCAUCUUCAUUCCGUUCUCCUCCCUCGACCUGACGCGUUUAUGUGAAAACAAGGCCAGCGCGUGGAAUCAUGGAACCUGAGUACACGGGCUCCUCACACCGGCCAGAAUUGCUCCUCUCAGGGCUGAACAAUAAACUGCACUGGGUUCUCGUAUAAAUGCUCCAAA